UUUGCCAUUGCCCGAUUUAAACCUUAUUCGAUUCCAUAAUAUAGAAAUCAGUUUUGUCACUUCCUUCCAGACAGGACAAAGUUCCCUCCUUUUCCUUCUCGAGAAAGACUGCAAUUUUGUUUCUUGUAUGAUAGACGGUUCGGAAGUGAUUCACCCAGUUAUAAUUUUGAUAAGAGAUAUAUCUCCAACCUCAUUUCACCAACAAAGCAAUG
rnacentral:lncRNA from 1 species